AGAAAGCUUUGCUCGUCACUUGAUGUUCGUCGUCCGAUUUCGUCUUUUUUGUUUUUUACUUUUACAAAAUUUCUCUGUCUUUAAAACUACUAGGCCAAAUGUUAUUGAACAAAUGUCUUUUAGGGAGUCGCCUGCUAGUUUUGGUUAAACUUUUCAACAAUUAUCAUUGGAGUAUCUAGUUUAAAAUCUAUGUUGGAUAACCCUGACUGUCAACCAAGUUAGCCGACAAGGUUAAAAUAAAAACAUAGAGAUAAAAUGUAAGUGCUGUUAAUUAAAAAACGUAAUGAAUAACGAAAACCUAAUGUGAAAAACA
rnacentral:lncRNA from 1 species